rnacentral:tRNA from 1 species
GCGGAAGUAGUUCAGUGGUAGAACGCCUUGCCAAGGUGGAGGUCGCGAGUUCGAACCUCGUCUUCCGCUCCA